CGGACGGGUGAGUAACGCGUGAGAAUUUGCCUUUAGGAGGGGGACAACAACUGGAAACGGUUGCUAAUACCCCAUAUGCUUUCGAGUGAAACGGUUUUUCCGCCUAAAGAGAAGCUUGCGGCUGAUUAGCUUGUUGGUGAGGUAAUGGCUCACCAAGGCGACGAUCAGUAUCUGGUUUGAGAGGACGAUCAGACACACUGGAACUGAGACACGGUCCAGACUCCUACGGGAGGCAGCAGUGGGGAAUUUUCCGCAAUGGGCGAAAGCCUGACGGAGCAAUACCGCGUGAAGGAUGACGGCCUAUGGGUUGUAAACUUCUUUUUUCAGGGAGGAAUCAAUGACGUGUACCUGAAGAAUAAGCAUCGGCUAACUCCGUGCCAGCAGCCGCGGUAAGACGGAGGAUGCAAGUGUUAUCCGGAAUCACUGGGCGUAAAGCGUCUGUAGGUGGUCCAAUAAGUCAACUGUUAAAUCUUGAGGCUCAACCUCAAAAUCGCAGUCGAAACUAUUAGACUAGAGUAUAGUAGGGGUAAAGGGAAUUUCCAGUGGAGCGGUGAAAUGCGUAGAGAUUGGAAAGAACACCGAUGGCGAAGGCACUUUACUGGGCUAUUACUAACACUCAGAGACGAAAGCUAGGGUAGCAAAUGGGAUUAGAUACCCCAGUAGUC
rnacentral:rRNA from 1 species